GCUCACAUCCUGGGCUCAAAGCCCUAGUGACACAGAUUAUUCAGUUGGGGCACUGAUGUCCGGUCUGACUUCCCUCCAGGCCCCAGGGUCUAUGCUAAACCAGGCAGUGAGAUUGUAAUACUCCAAUGAUCACUGCUAAAGACACAUUAGGGAAAAGAACAGAGAAGAAAUCAAAAGAUCCCUUCCUGAUUUCAGGGAGGAGGAGACAGACAGGCGUUUGGGGUUUGUCGAACGGGAGACGGAGGGAGUGGGUACAGACUUCAACCUAUUCCCUCAUUAUGUUUACAUUCAACACAAACCACUAGCGGGGCUGGGAAGCAAACAUAAUCAACAACUUUUCGGAUUUUAAACUCAUCACCUUGGUGCUCAUUACGAAGGGUGCAUUGACUGCACCCUCAAUGAACAGACUAGGCUGUCUCUACUGUGGGUGCUUAUAGGAGCACCAUGGGAGGCAGAGGGAAGACAGAAAAGCCAUUUUGGGGACUCACCAGGUAUAGGGAAUCACUUUGGAACAAGGGACCCCCCCAUCAGAUCCAAAAGAGAGCCACGUUCCAAAAUUCUUUCCAGCUGAGUCCACCCCUCCCUGGAAGCCCACCCUAGCCCCUUCUAGAGGCCAAGGCCACCGCCUUAUGGAGCAUGAGCAUCCCUUGCUGCAGCCAACUAUGCUAGACUCCACAGAUGCUGACCACGGUGGGCUUCAUGUUGUAUUGGGCCUGCGUUAACCCAGCUCUCUCUCGAGACAGAGCGGGUGGGGGAGCUGCAGCAGAGGGCAGACACGCCAUCAGCACCCCCCCGCCAACAGCACCUUCCUGGUAUUUAUAAACACAGAGAUCACACGCACAAUCCCUCCAGUGCAAACCAGUCCGGCUGCUUUAGAAACAAGUUGUUUUCUGCUUCCAGAACCACCCAGGAGCCUGCGUGAUGUCUCUUCCCCCACCCGACCCCCUCUUCCCUCUGCCGGUCUCCUUGCUCCAGGUACCCCCAGACCCUCAAGGUGCUCCUUCGUUCCUGGGGGGCAGUGCAGCCUCCUGUCCGUGAUCCUUACAGAAGACGGGUCGGCGGGGGGGCAGGCAGGCAGGCAGGGGGCACACAGGCGGCAUGAGCCAACCAAGGCUGGCUUCUUCCUUCCUGACCUUCGCACCUGAUUCCCAGAGCGGCAGCCCUCGCCCUCGCUCCAGAUUACUUGAAGGAGUCCAACCAUGUUUCUGGGUCCCCAACCCCUUUCAGAAAGGAGUUAUGACUGAUGGAGAACGGGGAGGAGAGAGAGAGGGCUUUCCUGAAGGAAUAGGGUCCCAGGAUGUCGAGAGGUGCCAGUGGGUGCAAAGAUUUUCUUGUCUGUCCACCACCCAGAGAGAAGACGC
rnacentral:lncRNA from 10 species